CGGCCACAUUGGGACUGAGAUACGGCCCAGACUCCUACGGGAGGCAGCAGUGGGGAAUAUUGCACAAUGGGCGCAAGCCUGAUGCAGCGACGCCGCGUGCGGGAUGACGGCCUUCGGGUUGUAAACCGCUUUUGACUGGGAGCAAGCCCUUCGGGGUGAGUGUACCUUUCGAAUAAGCACCGGCUAACUACGUGCCAGCAGCCGCGGUAAUACGUAGGGUGCAAGCGUUAUCCGGAAUUAUUGGGCGUAAAGGGCUCGUAGGCGGUUCGUCGCGUCCGGUGUGAAAGUCCAUCGCUUAACGGUGGAUCCGCGCCGGGUACGGGCGGGCUUGAGUGCGGUAGGGGAGACUGGAAUUCCCGGUGUAACGGUGGAAUGUGUAGAUAUCGGGAAGAACACCAAUGGCGAAGGCAGGUCUCUGGGCCGUCACUGACGCUGAGGAGCGAAAGCGUGGGGAGCGAACAGGAUUAGAUACCCUGGUAGUCCACGCCGUAAACGGUGGAUGCUGGAUGUGGGGACCAUUCCACGGUCUCCGUGUCGGAGCCAACGCGUUAAGCAUCCCGCCUGGGGAGUACGGCCGCAAGGCUAAAACUCAAAGAAAUUGACGGGGGCCCGCACAAGCGGCGGAGCAUGCGGAUUAAUUCGAUGCAACGCGAAGAACCUUACCUGGGCUUGACAUGUUCCCGACAGCCCCAGAGAUGGGGCCUCCCUUCGGGGCGGGUUCACAGGUGGUGCAUGGUCGUCGUCAGCUCGUGUCGUGAGAUGUUGGGUUAAGUCCCGCAACGAGCGCAACCCUCGCCCUGUGUUGCCAGCACGUCGUGGUGGGAACUCACGGGGGACCGCCGGGGUCAACUCGGAGGAAGGUGGGGAUGACGUCAGAUCAUCAUGCCCCUUACGUCCAGGGCUUCACGCAUGCUACAAUGGCCGGUACAACGGGAUGCGACACCGCGAGGUGGAGCGGAUCCCUUAAAACCGGUCUCAGUUCGGAUUGGAGUCUGCAACCCGACUCCAUGAAGGCGGAGUCGCUAGUAAUCGCGGAUCAGCAACGCCGCGGUGAAUGCGUUCCCGGGCCUUGUACACACCGCCCGUCAAGUCAUGAAAGUGGGUAGCACCCGAAGCCGGUGGCCCAACCUUUUGGGGGGAGCCGUCUAAGGUGAGACUCGUGAUUGGGACUAAGUCGUAACAAGGUAGCCGUACCGGAAGGUGCGGCUG
rnacentral:rRNA from 1 species